rnacentral:rRNA from 1 species
GGAAUAUUGCACAAUGGGCGCAAGCCUGAUGCAGCCAUGCCGCGUGUAUGAAGAAGGCCUUCGGGUUGUAAAGUACUUUCAGCGGGGAGGAAGGCGACGGGGUUAAUAACCCUGUCGAUUGACGUUACCCGCAGAAGAAGCACCGGCUAACUCCGUGCCAGCAGCCGCGGUAAUACGGAGGGUGCAAGCGUUAAUCGGAAUUACUGGGCGUAAAGCGCACGCAGGCGGUCUGUUAAGUCAGAUGUGAAAUCCCCGGGCUUAACCUGGGAACUGCAUUUGAAACUGGCAGGCUUGAGUCUUGUAGAGGGGGGUAGAAUUCCAGGUGUAGCGGUGAAAUGCGUAGAGAUCUGGAGGAAUACCGGUGGCGAAGGCGGCCCCCUGGACAAAGACUGACGCUCAGGUGCGAAAGCGUGGGGAGCAAACAGGAUUAGAUACCCGAG